rnacentral:misc_RNA from 1 species
GAUGAAGAACGUAGUGAAAUGCGAUAAGUAAUGUGAAUUGCAGAAUUCAGUGAAUCAUCGAAUCUUUGAACGCACAUUGCGCCCGCCAGUAUUCUGGCGGGCAUGCCUGUUCGAGCGUCAUUUCAACCAUCAAGCCCCAGGCUUGUGUUGGAGCCCUGCGGCUGCCGCAGCCUCCCAAAACCAGUGGCGGGCUCGCUAUCACACCGAGUGCAGUAGUUUACUCUUCGCUCAGGGCGUGUGGCGGGUGCUAGCCGUGAAACCCCCAACUUCUCAAGGUUGACCUCGGAUCAGGUAGGAAUACCCGCUGAACUUAAGCAUAUCAAUAAGCGGAGGA